rnacentral:tRNA from 1 species
GCCGGCAUAGCUAAGUGGUAGAGCAGCGCUUUUGUAAAGCGAAGGUCGUCGGUUCAAAUCCGUCUGCCGGCU